GGGUUUAAGUGGGUGAGAAAUGUAUUUAAGUUUGGGGUGUUUUCACUUAGAGGACAAGAUUUUAGCUAACCAGGUCCCAGAUGUGGGAUCGAUGACCCCAGAAGACAUGCAGGAAGCCAAAGGAAAGGAUCCCUGGGGAAGUGCCUCAACGUUUACAUCUAUCUGUCUAAACUGGACCAUGUAAAGUAGAGCAAACUUGACCCAGGAAAAGGCUGAAUUUAGGAAAUCCAGACCUAACAUAUAUCUUUGGGGUGUACGCUCACAAAGAAGAUGAUGUUGAACUCUGUAUCCUGAACCGGAGACCCCUGAGAUCUCAGUCACUUGAACAGCAUUCUCCAACCAUCACAAUGGUCUGAAUUUAAAUCAGUAAGAAGCAGUUAGUACUACUGCGUCAUACAGAAAGGAAGAGAGAACUGGGGGCUCAAGACCCUCCCUUCAGCAGCAUAUCCCCUUCCCUAAGGCUUGGGUGAACACUGAUGACAGCCCAGACCCUCCCAGCAGGGCUCAAGGCAGAUAGAAAACAAAGCCCAAGCUGAGACAGAGCUUCUCAGCACCUUGAUGUUCAGAGUACAAGAGGGAACCUAAGUAUGACCAGAGUGAAAGCAUAUUCAGAAACGUCUAUAAAUGUCAGGAAAAAGAAAUCCCAGAGGCCUUGAAGUAUGGAGAGUUGAAAAAGUGAACAGAAUGGAAAUGCUGUGAUGUAGAUAAAGUCUAUCUAUAAAAGGGAAAAGAUUGGAAGGGAAAGGUGACUGAUGUCCACUGAGCCCCUGCCUUAUGCCAGGCAAAGUUCUGGGAUUUUACCAAUGUAUAUAAUUUUAUCAUCAUAUAUAAUCCCCAAACACUCUGAAGGAUAUGAAAGAUCGCCUUUUGUACUGAGCCACGUCUGCCUAACUUUUAGUCACCCUAAACUUUUAGUAACCCAUUCCUUUACUGUAAUAAUGUAACAAAGCUCUAUGGACUAUCUCCAGCUACCCCCAUGUCCCCACACACUCCUACACAUAAGCACAAUGAGGUGCGAAGUAUCUGAUAUGGAUCAUUAGGAAUGAAAAAGUACCACUCCCCAACACAUAUUUACUCCACUAUCUGCUUAUCUCUGUUUUGAGCAACCAUGCUAAUAUAAUAUAACCAUGC